rnacentral:rRNA from 1 species
GACGUAGGGCGCGAGCGUUGUCCGGAUUUAUUGGGCGUAAAGAGCUCGUAGGCGGCUUGUCGCGUCGACUGUGAAAACCCGCGGCUCAACCGCGGGCCUGCAGCCGAUACGGGCAGGCUAGAGUUCGGUAGGGGAGACUGGAAUUCCUGGUGUAGCGGUGAAAUGCGCAGAUAUCAGGAGGAACACCGAUUGCGAAGGCAGCUCGCUGGGACGUAACUGACGCUGAGACGCGAAAGCGUGGGGAGCAAACAGG